rnacentral:lncRNA from 1 species
AUUUUAAACAAAAAGUGGCUGAGUAUAAAUUCUUCCAUCAUACCCACCCCCAAACCUACCUUCCAAAUACAUCAUCACUAGGUCACUUUCUAUUUUCCUUAAUGCAGACUUAAUUUUUUUAUAGCCCCAGGGGCUAAAGUGAGCAAGGCUGUCUUCUACAAUCCAGACAGAUAGAUGCGUAUGGGGUAUGAGCCAGACUCCAAGAGAGGAACUUCACACUCCUACCACUGCUGCCGGGGAUCCUGCAAGACUGCAGUUACAGCCCCGAGCCCUGUGGGGAGAGCCAAGCUCAGUGCACCUGCCUGACCCCAGAGCCCCAGCAGCACUGACCUCUCUCAGCAAGCAAGCUAUGUGCCCAAUAUCCCCAAGAGGACGUUCCACUGAAGCCACUGGGGACAGUCCUCAUGCAAGGGUGCAGAUGAAGGGCCCAGGGGAGCUGGGCCAACGCGAAGGGAGAAUAUCCCCCCCCAUCGCGUCCCCCUCCCUGGACCUGUGGUGUCUGUAAGGCCUUCCUGGGGAUGGGGGCAUCAGAGCUGCGAGAGGACAGCAGGAAAAGUGUCUAAGUGUUAUUCAUUAAUUAAUGGUCUUUGGGGAUUAGAUUUUAUCUAUUGUUAGUUUUUAAUCUUUUCCAACUUUCCUGAAACUUGCCUAUUCUUCCCCCACCCUUUUGAAAGAUUGUGCUAAAAAGUACAUCACUUUAAAAUGCACCAUUGUGGCCAUUUUUAAGUGUUCAGUUCAGUGGUGUCCAGUUCAUUCAUGUUGUGUACAGAUCUCUAGAACUUUUUAUCUUGCAAAACUCUUCCUUUAAUUUUUAAUGGAAAAAUAAUAUAGAUUAUUUUUAACCUAAUUAAACUUAAAAGUUUUUGCACAGCAAAAGAAACCAUAAACAAAAUGAAAAGACAACCCACAGAAUGGGAGAAAAAAUUUGCAAAUGAUGCGAAUGACAAGGGAUGCAUCUCCAAAAUACACACUCAACUCAUUCAAAAAAUGGGGAGAAGAUCUAAAUAGACAUUUCUUUCUCCAAAGAAGACAUAUAGAUAACCAAAAAAACACAUGAAAAGAUGCUCAACUAAUUAUUAGAGAAAUGAAAAUCAAAACUACUAUUAGGUAGCACUUUACACCAAUCAGACCAUAAUUAAAACAUCUACAAACAAUAAAUGCUGGAGAGAGUUUGGAGAAAAGAGAGCCCUCCUACACUAUUGGUGGGAGGGUAAAUGGGUACAACCACUGUGGAAAACAGUAUGGAGUUCCUCAAAAAACUAAAAAUAGAACUACCAUAUGAUCCAGCAAUCCCACUCCUGGCCAUCGAUCUGGAGAAAAUCUUAACUCAAAAAGACACAUGCACCCCUACGAUCACAGCAGCACUAUUUACAAAAGCCAAUACAUGGAAGCAACCUAAAUGUCCAUCCACAGAGGCAUGGAUAAAGAAGAUGUGGUACAUAUUUACAAUGGAAUAUUACUCCGCCACAAAAAAUGAUGAAAUAAUGCCAUUUGCAGCAACAUGGAUGCAUCGAAAUUAUCACACUAAGUGAAUCAGAAAGACAAAUACCAUAUGCUAUCACUUACAUGUGGAAUCUAAAAUAUGACACAAAUGGAGUUCCCGUUGUGGCUCAGUGGUUAACGAAUCCGACUAGGAACCAUGGGGUUGUGGGUUCAAUCCCUGGCCUUGCUCAGUGGGUUAAGGAUCCUGCAUUGCUGUGAGCUGUGGUGUAGGUCGCAGACGUGGCUCGGAUCCUGCACUGCUGUGGCUCUGGCGUAGGCUGGCAGCUACAGCUCCGAUUUGACCCCUAGCCUGGGAACCUCCAUGUGCCGCUGGAGCGGCCCUAGAAAUGGCAAAAAGACAAAAAAAAAAAAAUAAAAUAAAAUAAAGUAUGACACAAAUAAACAUCUACAAAACAGAAAUAGACUCACAGACACAGAAAACAGACUUUUGGGUGCCAAAGGGGAGGAGGUUGGGGGUUGGGUGGUUUGGAAGUUGGGGUUAGAAGAUGUAAGCUAUUAUAUAUAGGUUGGAGAAACAACAAGGUCCUACUGUAUAGCACAAGGAACUGUACUCAAUAUCCUGUGAUUAAACCAUAAAGGCAAAGAAUAUGAAAAAAAGAAUAUAUAUAUAACUGAAUUGCUUUACUGUACAGCAGAAAUCAACACAACUACUUCCAUUAAAAAAAAUCCUCAUAAAGGCGGGCCUCUUCACCUUCUUCCUCCACCUCAGCCUCUGAUGGGGACUCUCCAGAGCCAAAGACCCCAGCCCCAU